GUAAUAAAAAUAAAAGAAAAGGAAUAAAAUAAAACCACCUUGUUCUUGUCGAAAUAAAAAGAAGAAGAAAAUAGAAAAGAAACAAGACAUUCGGCCUUCCUUGAUUCAAAAUUUAGAUCAAGAAACAAGGAGAUCAGAAGCGGAUAAGAGAACAGCGAAAUUAAUUGAAUAGCCGAGAAACUUAAUCCGUUGAUAAUCGAGCUCAAGAGAAAAAGGAGCUAAAUUCGGAAAGGGGGAAAGCAAA